UUUGUUCGUCAUCAUAUAUGAUUUGAAUUAAAUCAUGAAAAAAACACUCUUACCCAUAUUAAGUAUGUUGAUUCUGAAAAUUGACAACAAAAAACUGAAAACUAUUUUUUGUAGUUUCCAUAUGUUUGUUUAUUGUUUUCUAAAACACAUAAAAACGUAGAUUCCUAGACUUUUCUCCCAAAAAGAAACACCUCCUCCCUCCAAACCCUAGCCGCCGCCGGCUCGCUGGAGGCCGGCCGGAGCUUUCUCUGCUCUCUAAAGGUCGCCGGCGAGCCGGUUGUCUCAGCCACCGUCCGUCCGUCACCUGAUUCGAUUUUUAAGUGUCUCUCCAGGUAAGAAGAAGAAGAAGAAGGGAACAUCUUUGUGUCUCUAAUCUCGCCGGAAUUAUCUUCUAAUUGCUAGUGUAGACAAGCCAACUUCGUUGAGUACAAAGGAGGGCGAUUUUCAGCCUUGGUUGCCUUUUCCAAAAUCUACCCAAGCGCCGCCGUCGUCGUUAAUAUCUUCGGUAAAGGUCUUACAAGUCAGGGGUUCUCCUUAUCGUCUAUCGCUCAAGCUUCAUCUCAAGUGAAAAAAUGAAUGUGGGUGCGCAAGGUGAAGGAAACAAUCGAGAGCCAACAAGCACAAUUUUAGUAAUAUUUGUAGUUUGUAAUGUUCUAUGUUUUAAGUUUGUAAGAGCCAGUAUAGCUCAUAAAUUUUUAGUAAUAUGAAUGUGAUGCAGCUUUUGUCAAAAAAAAAAAAAAAACACACAUAAAAUCUCGAAAAAGGAAAAAAAGGAUACCGAACUGAGAAUAUAAAUUUUUGAUAUCUAAUGUAAAAAGAAAAGGAGUUGUAUUUAGAUGCAAUAAAAAUAAUAACAAAAAGUAUGGUCACUUUGUAAUUUA